rnacentral:lncRNA from 1 species
UGGCCCUAUUGUGUGCUGCAGUGGCUGUGUUAUCACAGUUUACAUGAGUAAUGUUUGCAGGUUUGGUGUCCUUGGCUCUGAAUUCCUCUGCGAGGCAGCUUUCCCACAUGCUCACAAACAGUCACUUCUGGGCUUUAAAAAGAAAUGAGGCAUCUGCUGAAAGAAACUUAUGGUAAUCACUGCAAAGUUGUGGAGUACAUCACUGCUGAGCCACAGCCUCCAUCCUAAGUAGAGCUGAGGACAGCCAGCUUGCACCCUGCCUGUCUAUGCCGCAGGCACUGCUGUGUCCUACUGCACCUCAUCACCACCAGCAAGAAAGAAAGAAGUUGAAUGCCUCAUGGAGUUAUGAUGUAUCCAUCUAGUUUGAAUACCACUGAACUGGCUCCUGAAUUAAAGCAAAGGCUCUGUCAAACAGCACCAAACAUGUACACUGCCCCUACUUCGGAUCAACUCAUUAUCCCGAAUAAACGAUGUGUCAUUCCCAUUAUUUAUGUUUCACUGCAGCCAAAGUAUCUGGACCUCGUUUUUGCAUUUAAAGACAAACAGCUGCCUGAGCUUCAGCUGGAGGAGGAAAAGGAAGACACCAUCAAGCAUGAAUGUUGUGCUGUGAGAUGCUGUGAGAUAACAUAUACCAAGUUCUUUCAUUCUUGCACCCUCACAAAAUGCUCUGAAACAAACAGAUCUUUGUAUGUUAAGGAACUGCUCAGAAUGAUUAAGGCAUGUGGAAUUGGGACCCUCAUGAUUUUCUUUCUCUGAAUCAUCAUUUUCUAGAUUGGUUCCUAGAAGACCUCACAGUUGGAUGUACAUGGAAAGACUUAGACAGUCUUCCUUGACCCAGCUACCUUGUCAUCAUGCUUCUAAAUAUUCAAGCAUUAUAUCUGGAAUUAUUCACAGACUAUAGUAAUUAUCGUUCAGCAAAAAUCAGUCCCUCCAAAUGUUUGAUACCUAACGUGCACACAACCCAUCUGGGUUUAAUGGGUUUAUUCGUGCGAGUAAAACCCAUGGAGUCAGGCCCAGCAAAGUAUAAUGGCAUCACCUAAGUAUCUUCAGCACCUCCGUAUUAUUACCUUUGAGUCACUCACACCCUCAGUCAAUAAAAUUGAUCUCAUAACAAAUGCCAGUUGUACCCUACUAUUAACUUCUUUCCGUUCACAGAAGAAACUUCUUAUUACAACACUUUUUUUUUCUGCCGCUUAAC